GUGGGGAAUAUUGCGCAAUGGGGGAAACCCUGACGCAGCAACGCCGCGUGAAUGAUGAAGGCCUUCGGGUUGUAAAGUUCUGUCUUCUGGGACGAUAAUGACGGUACCAGAGGAGGAAGCCACGGCUAACUACGUGCCAGCAGCCGCGGUAAUACGUAGGUGGCAAGCGUUGUCCGGAUUUACUGGGCGUAAAGGAUGCGUAGGCGGACAUUUAAGUCAGAUGUGAAAUACCCGAGCUUAACUUGGGUGCUGCAUUUGAAACUGGGUGUCUAGAGUGCAGGAGAGGUAAGUGGAAUUCCUAGUGUAGCGGUGAAAUGCGUAGAGAUUAGGAAGAACACCAGUGGCGAAGGCGACUUACUGGACUGUAACUGACGCUGAGGCAUGAAAGCGUGGGGAGCAAACAGGAUUAGAUACCCCAGUAGUCC
rnacentral:rRNA from 1 species